GAUGAACGCUGGCGGCGUGCCUAACACAUGCAAGUCGAGCGAGAAGUUUUGAAGAGUUUCUUCGGAUUCAUUUUAAAAUGCAAAUCGGCGAACCGUUGAUUAACUCGUAGUCAACCUGCCCCAUACAAAGGGAUAGCAUUCUGAAACGAAUAUUAAUACCUUAUGAAACUUAACUAGUGUAUGCUACGUAGGUCAAAGAUCUAUAGGUAUGGGAUGGGCCUGCGUCUGAUUAGCUAGAUGAUGAGGUAACGGCUCACCAAGGCGACGAUCAGUAGCCGAGCUGAGAGGGUGAACGCCAACCUUGGACCUGAGACACGGUCCAGGAUCCUUCGGGAGAGAGCGGUAGGGUAAAUUGCCAAAUGGGCGUGAGUGUGAUGCAUCUACGGAGCGUGAAAGAUGGUGAUCUUUGAGUAGCAAAGGUGUAUGCUAGGUGACGAAACUUGACAGUAACCAAUGAGAAAGCCACGGCUAACUCCGUG
rnacentral:rRNA from 1 species